AAGUCUGUUUGAGAAAACAGAAGCUCAGGUCAAGUAAGUACACACUUACAAUAACACAGUUGAUGAUGGGGAAACUCAGAGUCAA
rfam:Streptococcus dysgalactiae subsp. dysgalactiae ATCC 27957 chromosome, whole genome shotgun sequence.